GAUGAAGAACGUAGCGAAAUGCGAUAACUAAUGUGAAUUGCAGAAUUCAGUGUAUCAUCGAGUCUUUGAACGCACAUUGCGCCCCCUGGUAUUCCGGGGGGCAUGCCUGUCCGAGCGUCAUUGCUGCCCUCAAGCACGGCUUGUGUGUUGGGCUCCGUCCCCCCGGGGACGGGCCCGAAAGGCAGCGGCGGCACCGAGUCCGGUCCUCGAGCGUAUGGGGCUUUGUCACCCGCUCUGUAGGCCCGGCCGGCGCCAGCCGACAACCCAUCAUCCUUUUCAGGUUGACCUCGGAUCAGGUAGGGAUACCCGCUGAACUUAAGCAUAUCAAUAAGCGGAGGA
rnacentral:misc_RNA from 1 species